GGUGAUUCCGGGACUGCAGGGGCGUUAAUACGGAGGAGUCAGUGGUUAUCGGGUUUUAUGUGGUUUAAAGGGUGCGCAGGAGGAAUGUUAAGUGGGCGGGGAAAUUUGGGAGCUCAGCUGUAAAAGUGCCUUCGAAACUGGCAUUCUUGAGUAUGGAUGAAGUAGGCGGAAUUUGUGGUGUAGCGGUGAAAUGCAUAGAUAUCACGAGGAACUCCGAUUGCGCAGGCAGCUUACUAAACCAUAACUGACGCUCAUGCACGAAGGCGUGGGGAUCGAACAGGAUUAGAUACCCUUGUAGUC
rnacentral:rRNA from 1 species